UAUAAUUCCAGCUCCAAUAGUGUAUAUUAGAGUUGUUGCAGUUAAAAAGCUCGUAGUUGGAUUUCUGUCGUGGUCAUCCGGCGCCGCCCGUAUGGGUGCGCACCUGGUUUGCCCUCGGCUUUCUUCCGGUACCUUCCGCGCUUAAUUGCGUGUGUUGGCCCUCCGGAACUUUUACUUUGAGAAAAAUAGAGUGUUUCAAGCAGGCUUGUCGCCCUGAAUACUUCAGCAUGGAAUAAUAAGAUAGGACCUUGGUUCUAUUUUGUUGGUUUCUAGGACCAAGGUAAUGAUUAAUAGGGACAGUUGGGGGCAUUCGUAUUUAACUGUCAGAGGUGAAAUUCUUAGAUUUGUUAAAGACGAACUACUGCGAAAGCAUUUGCCAAGGAUGUUUUCAUUAAUCAAGAACGACAGUAGGGGGUUUGAAGACGAUUAGAUACCGUCGUAAUCUCUACCAUAAACUAUGCCGACUAGAGAUAGGGAAACGCCUACCUUGGCUUCUCCUGAG
rnacentral:rRNA from 1 species